rnacentral:rRNA from 1 species
AGUGAACGCUGGCGGUAGGCCUAACACAUGCAAGUCGAACGGCAGCACAGUAAGAGCUUGCUCUUACGGGUGGCGAGUGGCGGACGGGUGAGGAAUACAUCGGAAUCUACUUUUUCGUGGGGGAUAACGUAGGGACACUUCCGCUAAUACCGCAUACGACCUACGGGUGAAAGCAGGGGAUCUUCGGACCUUGCGCGACUGAAUGAGCCGAUGUCGGAUUAGCUAGUUGGCGGGGUAAAGGCCCACCAAGGCGACGAUCCGUAGCUGGUCUGAGAGGAUGAUCAGCCACACUGGAACUGAGACACGGUCCAGACUCCUACGGGAGGCAGCAGUGGGGAAUAUUGGACAAUGGGCGCAAGCCUGAUCCAGCCAUACCGCGUGGGUGAAGAAGGCCUUCGGGUUGUAAAGCUCUUUUGUUGGGAAAGAAAAGCAGCAGGUUAAUCCCCCGCUGUUCUGACGGUACCCAAAGAAUAAGCACCGGCUAACUUCGUG